GCUGACACAUCCCUGCCAAUCUCCGGCAGACCCUCCCUCCCAGACCCUCCCACUUCCUGGACAGCAUCCAUGUUGAAGGCAGCUUCAACAUGGAUGUUGUCCAGGAGGUGGGAGGGUCUGGGAGGGAGGGUCUGCCGGAGAUUGGCAGGGAUGUGUCAG